rnacentral:rRNA from 1 species
UACGUAGGCAGCGAGCGUUGUUCGGAGUUACUGGGCGUAAAGGGUGUGUAGGCGGUUCUUUAAGUUUAGUGUGAAAAUCUCCCCGGCUCAACCGGGAGGAUGCGCUGAAUACUGAGGGACUAGAGUACGGGGAGAGGAAAAGUGGAAUUCCUGGUGUAGCGGUGAAAAUGCGUAGAUAUCGGGAGGAACACCAGUGGCGAAGGCGGCUUUUCUGGCCCGUUCUUGACGCUGAGGGCGCGAAAAGCUAGGGGGAGCGAACUGG